UCCGAGUUGUCCCCGGCAGUCUCCCACGAGUCCCCGGCAUCACCCGCUGGCAACAUGGGACAAGGGUUGCGCUCGUUGCGGGACUUAACCCAACAUCUCACGACACGAGCUGACGACAGCCAUGCACCACCUGUACCGGACCCAAAAAGGACCCCACAUCUCUGCAGGAUUUCCCGGCAUGUCAAACCCAGGUAAGGUGGGGAUGACGUUGAACGGUUGGUU
rnacentral:misc_RNA from 1 species